GAUGAUCCAUCUUCAAAUAAGGAAUUACUCCGAGCUCUAUCGUAUAAGAAUAUUCAUAGUACAGAUUUGGUGGUCGUUGCUAGACGGCAGAGCACACUGCGAUGACUGUGGCUUGGUGUGAUCCUAGCACAGGCAGAGGCCUCCCAUUCUAUAGUAUCAAAACCAAAGACGCACAAACAAAAGACACAAUGUUUGGUACUCGACACUGGAUUGCUGACGGAGGAUUGGCUUCAACUCUUCAAAAUUUAGGUUAUUCUGUUGAUGGGGAUCCUCUCUGGAGUGCUCGUCUCCUUGCAACUGAUCCUGAUGCUAUUAAGAGGGUACACAAAACUUUCCUAGAAGCAAAAGCUGAUAUGGUAACAACGGCAAGCUACCAAGCAAGCAUUUCAGGCUUUGUAAAGCAUCUGAGUAUCACAGAUGAGGAAGCUGUGAAACUUAUGACUCUGUCUGUGUCUCUGGCAAGAGAGGCUGUUAAUGAGUACUGUAGGGAGAAUCAGAAGGAAGGAGAGAAGCCACUAGUUGUUGGUUCAGUUGGACCGUAUGGUGCUUGCCAGGCUGAUGGGUCAGAGUACACUGGAGAUUACGUAUCAAAAAUGACAGAAGAACAGCUGAAGGUGUGGCACAGACCUCGCAUGACUGCUCUGGUGGAUGCAGGUGUUGACCUUCUGGCUAUUGAAACCAUCCCCGCCCUUAAGGAAGCACUGGCUGUGUUGAGACUAUUAAAAGAAUUUCCGGGCGUGAAAGCUUGGGUUACCUUCUCUUGCAGAGACGGGCAGAGAACCAACUUCGGCGACCCCUUUGGCGAGGCGGCGAGAAAAUGCCACGAAGAGGCCCCCGAUCAGCUGGCGGCCGUCGGCGUGAACUGCAGCCCGCCCCAGCACGUGUCAUCUCUCCUGAAGGAAGCUAACGUCACGCUUCCUGCCCCGGAGGUCCUUCCUCGUGUUGUUUACCCGAAUUCUGGAGAGGAGUGGGUGGCCGGGAAGGGGUAGGUGGGGGUCGCGCGGUAGCGGAGUGAUUCGUGUUGUCGUUUUGUAGUAUUGCUGGGAAGGUCGUAGUACAGAGUGGUCGUACGUAACCGAGGUCCCGUCCUGGCUGCGUCUCGGAGCUACCGUCGUCGGGGGAUGUUGCAGGAUCGGGCCGGAAGACAUCAGAGAUAUUGCUAGCAUUGUUGCAAAGAGC
rnacentral:misc_RNA from 1 species